rnacentral:miRNA from 1 species
CAAACUUGAUGGUGUUUAUGACGUCGAUAUUCGACGUCAUAAACACCAAACUUGAUGGUGUUUAUGACGUCGCAUAUCGACGUCAUAAACACCAAAC